rnacentral:rRNA from 1 species
AGAACGAACGCUGGCGGCAUGCCUAACACAUGCAAGUCGAACGUGAUCCAGGCUUCGGCCUGGUGAAAGUGGCAGACGGGUGAGUAACGCGUGGGAACCUGCCCUGUGGUAGGGAAUAACCGUGGGAAACUGCGGCUAAUACCCUAUGAGUCCUUCGGGAGAAAGAUUUAUCGCCAUAGGAGGGGCCCGCGUCGGAUUAGGUAGUUGGUGGGGUAACGGCCUACCAAGCCUUCGAUCCGUAGCUGGUCUGAGAGGAUGAUCAGCCACACUGGGACUGAGAUACGGCCCAGACUCCUACGGGAGGCAGCAGUGGGAAUAUUGGACAAUGGGGGCAACCCUGAUCCAGCAAUGCCGCGUGGAUGAUGAAGGCCUUCGGGUUGUAAAGUCCUUUCGGCGGGGAAGAGUGAUGACGGUACCGCAGAAGAAGCCCGGCUAACUUCGCGCCAGCAGGCCGC